AACAGCAAACCUGCUGACAAGGUGGUAACCCUGAUUUGACUAACAACCAAACGAUUUCGCAGGAUGCUGACUAAGACGAAAGACACCAAGCUUUAGAGCAUAAGACAAAAGAAGUGACUAAGAUAUGGACAGCAUGCGAUUGUUUGUGCUUCUAGUUCUUCCAGAGAACAUUUCUUGAACGUAGAUCAGGGUUCUAGUCGCUCCUUGAAGUAAAUCUCUCUCGCACAAAGCUCGAAGCUUAAUAAUAGCCACUAAGACUAAAGCGAUUAGGAAAGACGCGAGCGAUUAUCGACGGAAUUUACUUGGCAGUUGCUGCAGUUGACAGAAGACGUUGUCUCUACUAACGGAGGUCGAGUUCAGAUCCUACAUACUUCCAGAGGCGACACCAGUCAAGGUGGGAAUGGCUGUCACAGAUGUUGUGAGGAAAGUUUUCAUCUUUUUCUACACACUAACAGUGGGGCUAGCGGUGGAGUUAGUUAAACUACUGACAGUAUUUGUGAUCAUCGCUGUCGUGGUGUUGACGUGGCUGGUGGUCGCGGCGUUCACCGUGUGGCAGACAUACGAGCACACACACAACGCCGCCCUGACGGUGCUCGCGGGUUGUAGGGCUGUUGCUGGUGGAUAUGUUGUUGUCGUCCUUCUUCGGCGUCUGGCUCGUGGCGUCGUCGGGUCUCCACCAACGUCAUCGACUGAUGUGUUACAGUUGUUGCUGCCUACAAGGUCAUCAAGGGCUGAAGUGAGGUCGUCUCGUCAGUCGACGAUCUCCGGCACAAAGGUUAAAAACAAUGGAGUGUCUAAGAAACGAGUUUAGACACACUAGGACGUCUCUUGGCAAGAAACAAGAGUUGGGUAUGAAUUCAGUGACAUCCAGUGACCUGUGACCUCAAGUCAAUACAUGAACCAGGAACCACAUGAAGAGAAAGACUUUGCAGGCUAUUGCAGAAAGAUCAUAGCGGUUAAUAUCACAAAUAACUGAACGUGUACAAGACUGUGACCAAUACAAAUAAAAAUAUUAUUGUUAAAUCAACAUUUUCAUUGUCGUGUUUCAUACUUUAUUGGUAUUGGCCAUGGUCUUGAACACUAUUACUUAUUUCUGAGACCGUAUCCAGCUCAAGACGACGGAUACCCUCGGUGUUUGCCUUACAGGUACCGAGAUCUUCAAUGAAAUGAAAUGGUAUAUUGAAUGGAAUUCACCCAGUAGAUAUAGUGUUGUGUCCUGAGGAGAGUAGGAAUUAUGAUUAAUAUGCACAAAUGUUGCAUGCAGUUAGGAACACCUAACACACAAUACACAGCACUACCUACAUUAAAUUACACCACAAAGUACAUUUGUCUGUACUCCACACUAGACUGCAAUACCUUCACUGCAUACUACAUGCUACUCACACCAUACACUACACUACACACUACACUACACUACACUACACUACACUACACUACACUACACUACACUACACUACACUACACACACGACACUGUAUUACACAAUAUGGCAUCUCAUAUCACACGGUACUGUUCAUCCUACUCUGCAUUACUCCCCACUGCCGUCUGCACAGUGUGUGUGUUAGUGUGUGUGAGGGUUAGGGUCAGGGUUAGGGUUAGGGGUAAAAAAGAUAUGUGUUCUUUGAUCUUGGCAUCUGUUCAUCUGUAUGCCUCGGACUUAAGCGUUCAGAUGGGGUUUGUCGGAGACACACGACACUCACAUUUAGCCAUAUCCGACAAGAUGUCACAAGAUGUCGGCAGGUACGGCAAGAAAUGGAAGAGGUGGCUCCAUGUGACAAGAUUUUAUAGGAUUCUCUUCAUCUUUCAGGUCUGCUUGUGUUGUAUAAUAAUUUCAGUUUUACCCAGGUCAGUUAACCAUUCAGCGGGAAUUUCUGUAUAACUACGACCAAAACAAAACAAUAGAAAAAAUAUAAAGACCACACACAUGAUGUAUGGGAAUGUAUAGAGGUAGAAGAAACCUCUCGCUAUACACAAGAGAUAUUUUUGAUAGUGUGAAAAACUUGAAUCCUGAUCGUACACCGGGUACAUCUGUCGAGAGGUCAUCAGAAAUCGCCUGACCUUGAACAUGUUCUCUUUUUGACUGUACAAGAUGACACUACCAUAGAAUAUUCGCUAUAUAAAUGAUAACUUUGUCAGUCGUAGAGUUCGUUAGGAUAAAGAAAGGUGUACAUAAGCUACAUAAGCUACCCAGCUAACUCCUCUGAGGACCGUUCGACCUUGUGUAGAUGGAAGGCGGCGAUCUACUUCAGCGGGAAUUCCGUCUUUCUAUUUGUAUUUACAGCCACUUAGGAUAAUGUGAUAAGGAAAGACUAGGGCGAGUAUAACAGGAGUUUAUUUAUCACUUCCUGCUGUUGACACAAGACGUUGUUUCUGUUAACUUUCACAAAGGUCGAGUUCAGAUCGUGCAUCUUCAGAUCGAGAGGCCAAACCGGUCAGGGUGAGAAUGGACGUCGAAGAUCUUGCAAGGAAAGUUUUCAUAUUUUUCUACAGACUAACAGUGGGGCUGGUGGUGGAGUUAGUUAAACAAUCGAUGCUAAUGGUGAUCGUCGCUGUCGCGGUGUUGAUGUGCCUGGUUGUCGGGGCCUUGACCGUGUGGCAGACAUACGAGCACACACACAACGCCGUCCUGACGCUGCUGGUGGGUUGUGGGGCUGUUGCUGGUGGAUAUGUCGUCAUCAUCCUUGUUCGGCGUCUGGCUCUUAACCUCUGGCUCGUGGCGCCUGAUCCAAAGUCAUCGACUGAUGUGUUACAGUUGUUGCUGCCUGAAGGUCAUUGAGUGCUGAAGUAAGGUCGUCUCGUCAGUUGACGACAUCUGCAGUUUCCGGGACAAAGGUCGAGAACAAUGGCGUGUCCAAGAAACGAGUUUAGACACAUGGGGUUGUCUCCUCAAGGGACUAGGAGCUGAGUAUGAAUUCAGUGACAUCCAGUGACCCGUGACUCCAUCUCGCAGUGACUUCGUCAGUACAUUAACCAGGAUCACAUGAGAGAAAGAUUUGCAAGCUAUUGCAGAAGGAUUAUAAUAUCACAAAUAACUGAACGUAUAUAAGACAUUGACCAUUACAAAAAUAUUAUUGUCUUGUUUCAAUGAACAUUUUAUGCUGAACCUCAUACAUUUUUGUACUGAUCAGCCUUGAGCACUAUGACUUAUUUCUGAGAACGUUUACAGCUGAAGACGAUGGAUACCAUCAUCGCACACUGUGUUUGCAAAUAUUUUUUUUAUAUAUCGCUCCUUGUGUCAGUUAAGAACAGAAAGCGAGUGUUCAUAAUCCGUAUCUGCUUGGGUGCUUUCAAUCCCGCGUUGUGCCAUUUCGACUUCUCUCGACAAGAGACCUUGAACUGAUCUCCAACAACCCGUAACCGUUGGUCACAACCGAAUGCAGUAUCGACACGAAGAGCUACAACCUUGCAAAGUGUUCGAGAGGACAGAAUAUUUAUGUAAAAUGCUGCAUGCAAAACGAACCCUACGACACGAGGCAACCGUUGAUAGCCGUCAACACACGAUUAUUUUCAGGAAAAAAAUGUUUUUCUGAUACAUGUUACAUACCAAUAUUUUAAACAUCAUGAUUAAAAGCGCUGAGCAAUAUAAGUAGGAAAAUACAAUGUAUCUUAAUUAUCAUGUGUUGUUAAUAAUAUCCAUUGCUUUCUGUUUUUGAUUUAUAUUUUACAAUUGUUAUUUCACUCGUUUGAGUACCGAAGAGUAAGGAAGAUAUCGUAAAUGUUGUUUGUUCAGGUUACAAUGUUAUCAUUUCUUUCGUGCAAAAUGUAUUUAUACAAUUUAAUAUGUUCUUUUCCAUUUUAUCAACAUGAGCAUUUGUCAAAUGAUGGUAAAUAUAUUAUUGACAAGUCCGAGGGAAUCUUGAAAGUGUAUAUUUUUCCAAUAAGAAACAAACCAAUGUGAUAAAAAAUAAAUGAUUUAUAGUUAAAAAAAAUGUUACCCUUUCAGAACUAAUUGUUGCUGAAGUCUUCUAGUCUUCAGAGCAACAUUUUUAUAAGCGAUAGAAACAAUCUAUACGAUGAUAUAUAUGAUAUAUAUAAUCAUGGCUAUCAACCAUGCAGGCUUUAAGAUAUAUAAAAUAUAUGAUCUUACAUGCGUUUUCAAUCAGGGCCUUUUUCCUGUAGACUAUAUUUCAGCAUUUAUAUGCCGUAGGUUUAUUCAUUAUUUAUGUAUUAUUAACCAUCUCUCUCAAAUAAAAAUUGUUUAAAAAGUGAUUAAAAGAACUGCUAAGUUAUGUCUUUAUUUAUAUUCAAGGUGUAAGUACUCAAUGUACUCCAGAAUGAGCAUAAAGGCUCUGUGUCAAACAAACUGCAAUCAAAUAAAAAUAAUAUGUAAAAUAUAGAAAACAAGAUAAAUACCAAAAAAGUUGUAUAACAAAAUAACCUGUGACAUUGUAAAAGUACUUAGGCAAAGGAUUUAUUCUGUCUUUAUUUGAAGCCAUUUUUUAUUUUAGACAAUUUAUCCAGUAAAAGUAUGUUUUUGUACAUAAGGGAUAAUGAUCUAAAUACGAGUUUUAUUUAAUAUAAUUUAAGUAAAAUUGUUGAUCCUGAUAGUGAGACUGUUGAAGCCGAGGAGUUUUUUUUAACAUAGGAUUUCUCGAACGGUUUUAGUGUCACGUAUACCUGUGUUUUACCUGUUUUAUUGCGAAGGUAUAUAACGCGUUCAGGGGAGGCAAUGACCUUUACUAAGAUAAAUUCGGAGUACAGUCCCUUACAUUGUGUUUCGUCUUAGCAUCAACAUGCAGUUCUUUGUCGAUAUGCCUAGUCUAAUUUUACUGUGUUCUUUAAAUAAUUCGUUAAAUAAAAUAUUUCCGUAAAUUACAAAU
rnacentral:lncRNA from 1 species